CAAAAACAUAGCUAUUAGAAAUAAUUAAUAGUGAUUUCUGCUCAAUGAAUUUUAAAUAGCCGCAGUACCCUGACUGUGCUAAGGUAGCAUAAUCAUUUGGCUUAUAAUUGAAGUCUGGUAUGAACGAAAAAUUGAAGAGCUACUUUAUCAGUAAUACAAAAUGAAAUUACUUAGUAAGUGAAAAUACUUACAAUUAAAUAAUAGACGAGAAGACCCUUGAAAUUUUAAGAACUAGUAAUAAAGGCUUUUUGUUGGGGCAACAGUGUAACAUAUAAUUUACAUUAUUUACAAGACAUAUAUUUGUUAGUUUAAAUUACUCUAGGGAUAACAGCGUAAUAUAUUAAUGAUUGCGACCUCGAUGUUGGAUUAGGAAGCGAAAACUUAGAAGGUUAGUUGUUGUGCUCUGUUCGAGCA
rnacentral:rRNA from 1 species